rnacentral:rRNA from 1 species
AUUCUAGAGCUAAUACAUGCAGCAGAACUCAGACCUUCGGGGACGAGUGCUUUUAUUAGACCAAGACCAAUCGGGCUUCGGCUCGACACCCAUGGCGACUCUGGAUAACUUUGGGCUGAUCGCACGAUCUUGUAUCGGCGACGUUUCUUUUUAAGUGUCUGCCUUAUCAACUGUCGAUGGUAGGUUAUGCGCCUACCAUGGUCGUAACGGGUGACGGGGAAUCAGGGUUCGAUUCCGGAGAGGGAGCCUGAGAAACGGCUACCACAUCCAAGGAAGGCAGCAGGCGCCCAAAUUACCCACUCCCGACAGGGGGAGGUAGUGACAAAAAAUAGCGAUGCGGGACUCUUUUGAGGCCCCGCAAUCGGAAUGAGAACACUCUAAAUCCUUUACCGAGGAUCCAUUGGAGGGCAAGUCUGGUGCCAGCAGCCGCGGUAAUUCCAGCUCCAAUAGCGUAUAUCUAAAGUUGUUGCGGUUAAAAAGCUCGUAGUUGGAUCUCAGUUCGAGACUGGCGGUCCGCCGUUCGGUGGUUACUGCCAGGACUCAACAUCCUGCCGGUUUUCCCCUGGUGCUCUUCACUGAGUGUCUCGGGUGCCCGGCACGUUUACUUUGAAAAAAUUAGAGUGCUCAAAGCAGGCGUUUCGCCUGAAUAAUGGUGCAUGGAAUAAUGGAAUAGGAUCUUGGUUCUAUUGUGUUGGUUUUCGGAACACGAGGUAAUGAUUAAGAGGGACAGACGGGGGCAUUCGUAUUGCGACGCUAGAGGUGAAAUUCUUGGACCGUCGCAAGACGAACUACUGCGAAAGCAUUUGCCAAGCAUGUUUUCAUUAAUCAAGAACGAAAGUUAGAGGUUCGAAGGCGAUCAGAUACCGCCCCUAGUUCUAACCAUAAACGAUGCCAACCAGCAAUCCGCCUGAGUUCCUCAAAAUGACUCGGCGGGCAGCUUCCGGGAAACCAAAGUGUUUGGGUUCCGGGGUAAGUAUGGUUGCAAAGCUGAAACUUAAAGGAAUUGACGGAAGGGCACCACCAGGAGUGGAGCCUGCGGCUUAAUUUGACUCAACACGGGAAAACUUACCCGGCCCGGACACCGGAAGGAUUGACAGAUUAAGAGCUCUUUCUUGAUUCGGUGGGUGGUGGUGCAUGGC